AUUGAACGCUGGCGGCAUGCCUUACACAUGCAAGUCGAACGGUAACAGGUCUUCGGAUGCUGACGAGUGGCGAACGGGUGAGUAAUACAUCGGAACGUGCCUAGUAGUGGGGGAUAACUACUCGAAAGAGUGGCUAAUACCGCAUGAGAUCUACGGAUGAAAGCAGGGGAUCGCAAGACCUUGUGCUACUAGAGCGGCCGAUGGCAGAUUAGGUAGUUGGUGGGAUAAAAGCUUACCAAGCCGACGAUCUGUAGCUGGUCUGGUAGGACGAUCAGCCAAGCUGGGACUGGGACACGGCCCAGACUCCUACGGGAGGCAGCAGUGGGGAAUUUUGGACAAUGGGCGAAAGCCUGAUCCAGCAAUGCCGCGUGCAGGAUGAAGGCCUUCGGGUUGUAAACUGCUUUUGUACGGAACGAAAAGCCCCGGGUUAAUACCCUGGGGUCAUGACGGUACCGUAAGAAUAAGCACCGGCUAACUACGUGCCAGCCGCCGCAGUAA
rnacentral:rRNA from 1 species